rnacentral:rRNA from 1 species
UUAAGCCAUGCGAGUCGAACGAGUUUAGGCUCGUGGCGUACGGCCCAGUAACACGUGGAUAACCUACCCUUAGGACCGGGAUAACCUUGGGAAACUGAGGAUAAUACUGGAUAGGCAACUAUUUCUGCAAUGGUUUUUUGUUUAAAUGUUUUUUCGCCUAAGGAUGGGUCUGCGGCCGAUUAGGUAGUUGGUUAGGUAAAGGCUUACCAAGCCGUUGAUCGGUACGGGUUGUGAGAGCAAGAGCCCGGAGAUGGAACCUGAGACAAGGUUCCAGGCCCUACGGGGUGCAGCAGGCGCGAAACCUCCGCAAUGUGAGAAAUCGCGACGGGGGGAUCCCAAGUGCCAUUCUUAACGGGAUGGCUUUUCAUUAGUGUAAAGAGCUUUUGGAAUUAGGGCUGGGCAAGACCGGUGCCAGCCGCCGCGGUAA